rnacentral:rRNA from 1 species
GGCGUGCUUAACACAUGCAAGUCGAGCGGUAAGGCCCUUCGGGGUACACGAGCGGCGAACGGGUGAGUAACACGUGGGUGAUCUGCCCUGCACUUCGGGAUAAGCCUGGGAAACUGGGUCUAAUACCGGAUAUGACCAAGGACUGCAUGGUUUUUGGUGGAAAGGUUUACUGGUGCAGGAUGGGCCCGCGGCCUAUCAGCUUGUUGGUGGGGUAAUGGCCUACCAAGGCGACGACGGGUAGCCGACCUGAGAGGGUGACCGGCCACACUGGGACUGAGACACGGCCCAGACUCCUACGGGAGGCAGCAGUGGGGAAUAUUGCACAAUGGGCGAAAGCCUGAUGCAGCGACGCCGCGUGAGGGAUGACGGCCUUCGGGUUGUAAACCUCUUUCAGCAGGGACGAAGCGAGAGUGACGGUACCUGCAGAAGAAGCACCGGCCAACUACGUGCCAGCAGCCGCGGUAAUACGUAGGGUGCAAGCGUUGUCCGGAAUUACUGGGCGUAAAGAGCUCGUAGGCGGUUUGUCGCGUCGUCUGUGAAAACUCGAGGCUCAACCUCGAGCUUGCAGGCGAUACGGGCAGACUUGAGUACUGCAGGGGAGACUGGAAUUCCUGGUGUAGCGGUGAAAUGCGCAGAUAUCAGGAGGAACA